rnacentral:misc_RNA from 1 species
GCAAACUUGGUCAUUUAGAGGAAGUAAAAGUCGUAACAAGGUUUCCGUAGGUGAACCUGCGGAAGGAUCAUUAUUGAAAUUAUUUUGGCUGGGUUGUUGGCUGGCUUUUCGGAGCAAUGUGCACAUCCAUGCCAUUUUAUAUUUCAACGCGAUCUGUGAACAUUUUGUGGAUUUAAAAGGGCCAAGGUUUUCCAAGGCAAAGUAAUUAUUUGUUUUGGGUUUUCGAGAUUGCUGUGUUAAAGGAGUAAUGCCAGCUUUUUCGUUCUUGGUCACCAAAAUGUAAUGGAAUGCUUAAUAAUGCACUUUCAAAUACAACUUUCAACAACGGAUCUCUUGGCUCUCGCAUCGAUGAAGAACGCAGC